rnacentral:tRNA from 1 species
GCCUGGGUGGCUCAGUUGGUUGAGUGUCUGACUUUGGCUCAGGUCAUGAUCUUGCGGUUUGUGAGUUCGAGCCCCGCGUCGGGCU